GCUUUAAUUUACUUAAACAUGCUGUCAAGCAUGUUAAUAGUGCCGGGAUUUAACCUGGAUAGUUUCAGUAGAAGUUAUUUGAGAAUAAAAUUAGCCAAUAGUAAGUGAACAAAGACAAUUCUCCAACUCUGCACAUUUCUUCUAAACUACUACCAUAUCAUUACAAUGUCUUUUUGUCUAUUGUUGAUUCUAAUAUAUUCUUUAUAGUAUCAUCUCUUCUUCGUAAAAUGAAACAACAGUCCAGAGAGGCAAUUGAAACUCGAAGGCCUGACCUUAUUUCUGCUUUAGAACAGAUGGGAAAUUUUUACAUGGAACUAAAAUGGGAUUUCAAAAGCUGGGUGCCAUUGGUGUCAAAAAUCUUACCAUCUGAUAUUUGUCGGAUCCAUAAGAAAGGAUCAAACAUCAGGCUUGACACGACUCUUAUAGACUU